UUUAUGGAGAGUUUGAUCCUGGCUCAGGAUGAACGCUGGCGGCGUGCCUAAUACAUGCAAGUCGAGCGAACGGAUGAGAAGCUUGCUUCUCUGAUGUUAGCGGCGGACGGGUGAGUAACACGUGGAUAACCUACCUAUAAGACUGGGAUAACUUCGGGAAACCGGAGCUAAUACCGGAUAAUAUUUUGAGCCGCAUGGUUCAAAAGUGAAAGACGGUCUUGCUGUCACUUAUAGAUGGAUCCGCGCUGCAUUAGCUAGUUGGUAAGGUAACGGCUUACCAAGGCAACGAUGCAUAGCCGACCUGAGAGGGUGAUCGGCCACACUGGAACUGAGACACGGUCCAGACU
rnacentral:rRNA from 1 species